GACAGAGGUGCCAAGCGUUAGGCGGAAUUACUGGGCGUAAAGGGCGCGUAGGCGGCCCGCUAAGUCGAACGUGAAAUCCCCGAGCUCAACUCGGGAACUGCGUCCGAUACUGGUGGGCUUGAAUCCGGGAGAGGGAUGCGGAAUUCCAGGUGUAGCGGUGAAAUGCGUAGAUAUCUGGAGGAACACCGGUGGCGAAGGCGGCAUCCUGGACCGGCAUUGACGCUGAGGCGCGAAAGCUAGGGGAGCAAACGGG
rnacentral:rRNA from 1 species